rnacentral:rRNA from 1 species
UCCUGGCUCAGGAUGAACGCUAGCGGCAGGCUUAAUACAUGCAAGUCGAGGGGCAGCACGAAUAGCAAUAUUUGGUGGCGACCGGCGCACGGGUGCGUAACACGUAUACAACCUACCUAUAACAGGGGGAUAGCCUUUCGAAAGAGAGAUUAAUACCCCGUAAUAAAUUGAGUGGCAUCACUUGAUUUUGAAAGCUACGGCGGUUAUAGAUGGGUAUGCGUCUGAUUAGCUAGUUGGUGAGGUAACGGCUCACCAAGGCGACGAUCAGUAGGGGGAUCUGAGAGGACUAACCCCCACACUGGUACUGAGACACGGACCAGACUCCUACGGGAGGCAGCAGUAAGGAAUAUUGGUCAAUGGAGGCAACUCUGAACCAGCCAUGCCGCGUGCAGGAUGACGGCCCUAUGGGUUGUAAACUGCUUUUGUACCAGAGAAAACCUACUCACGUGUGAGUAGCUGAUAGUAUGGUAAGAAUAAGCAUCGGCUAACUUCGUG